AAAAUUAAAUAUAUCACCAUUUAUUUAUUUUUUACAAAUGUUAAAGGGAAAAACGUGAGUUCAAUAGGUCACUGACUGAUGACACAUUUCCUUUAAAUGGCUUCUAUCCUACUGGUCACUCUUCUUGGGGGGUUGAAGACAAAUACUUCAAGUACCAAAGCAUGCUUACCAGGUAGAGGAUGCUUGAUUAUCUCGACAGCCUAAUAGCUUGGACGGCUCCCCUGCUUACCAAUAUCUAAGAACCGGACACAUAUGGGUUCAGUAUCUUCCCAGAUGUGAAUUCAGGUAGGAGAAGCUACAUACUGGUAGGAAACAAACAAAAGAUGAUCUGUUUGGUUACCAGACACCUGGACAACCCCCAUCGCCGGUGCCUGAUGUAUAAAAUGUGCUAGUGGCCAAGGAUCACAAAGACAGGUCUCUACAAACUGAAGCCUAAGAAAAAAAAAUGAAUUAACUAGUGUACAGUUUUCUCAGAUUCUCACACAAUGACUCAUCUUAAUCACACAAGGUGCAUAAUCUAACAGAUUGCCCUUUUCAGUCCAAUAUAGAUGGGCGUUUAAUGUGAUACUUAUCCAAACGUGGUAAACCUGGGACUAUGGGCCAUGAGGAAAUUUGCAUAUAUUCAGCUUCUGAAAUUAGUGACUGUCCCAGAAAAUGCAGCCUUUAGGUGGUGUACUCCAGGCGCCAUCAUCAGGCAGGUUGGUGCAGUACAGUCUUAUGUCAGUCCUCCAAGGUUUUGAUGAUUUUACAUUGAUGUCUUGAUUUCAGUCUGUAAGCUCCAUCGAUGAUUGUCUGCGGUAACGACCUCUUCACAGCAAAUACACAGCAUGCAUUUUUCGGCUAUUAAAAAGCAACUGCCUCCCAAUACCAACUUAUUGUUAAAAAAGCAACUCGAAAAAUACCAUUUUACCAUGAAAUAUUAAACGGACAAACAUUAAACAGCUUUACAAGUAGGAAGUCUGUUUCCAAACAGCCAAAGAAUCUACCAGAGAAAGGCAGAAGAGAGCCAACACUGAAAAACUACUGCCAGCUAAGAGAACGGCGGCCAUUUUGACUAGCAUGAGAGACUAGGCCUAGGGGGAGGGGUGAAGAAAACGCAACAAUGACUCACUAUGGUACCACGCCCAGUACAAGAAGAACAGCGGCCAUCUUGGCUAGCAUGAAAGGGUGAACACCCAACUAUUGUACCCUGCCCAGUACAAGGAGAGCGGCGGCCAUUUUGAGUCAUGAGACUGUAUGAACGUUAUACACGUCACAAUCCUACCCCGCCCAGGACAAGGAGAGCGGCGGCCAUUUUGAGUCAUGAGACUGUAUGAACGUUAUACACGUCACAAUCCUACCCCGCCCAGGAUCAUUAGAGCUGCGGCCAUUUUGAGUCAUGAGACCGUGGGUAAACAAAGUUACACACGUCACAAUCCUACCCCGCCCAGUACAAGGAGAGCGGCGGCCAUCUUGACUAGCAUAAAGUCUAUGGGGGGGGGGGGGGGGGAAAAGAGAUCCAGCGAGUCACUAUCCUAUCCUGCCCAGUACAGGGAGAACGGCAGCCAUAUUGAACACUAAAAACAGUUCACCCCAGCCAAACUAAGGGAGAACAGAGGUCAUGUUUUAAGCACAAAUUACUACUUAUGGCUAAUUGCACGACGGCCAUGUUUAUUAGCCCACCACACAGACCUAACAUCACUAUCCCCAGAUCCAUUCAGCACCAGCACAUUUGACACUAAAAGGAGGAAGCCACACCAUCUCAAUAGGGAGCAAACUAUGACCAUCAAUAGUAAAGACUCAGAGCGAUUCCCUGGCAGACCUGACAGUACAGGCUUAUCAUAUACAGCUCCGGACCCCAAACUUAAACAGCUUCUGUGACUAUGGUCUACAAAGCCAGCGAACGUUAAACCCCAACCACAGUAACAAUUCACAUUCCCCUAUAUAAGCGCGGGCUCAAGAGAACAUAACCCUCAACCGG